UGCAUUGGCCAGGAAUCGAACCCGGGCUGCCCGCGUGGCAGGCGAGCAUUCUACCACUGAACCACCGAUGC
rnacentral:tRNA from 1 species